AUUGAACGCUGGCGGCAUGCCUUACACAUGCAAGUCGAACGGUAACAGGUCUUCGGAUGCUGACGAGUGGCGAACGGGUGAGUAAUGCAUCGGAACGUGCCCAGUAGUGGGGGAUAGCCCGGCGAAAGCCGGAUUAAUACCGCAUACGACCUGAGGGUGAAAGGGGGGAUCGCAAGACCUCUCGCUAUUGGAGCGGACGAUGUCAGAUGAGCUAGUGGGUGGGGUAAAGGCCUACCAAGGCAGCGAUCUGUAGUUGGUCUGAGAGGACGACGCGCCGCACUGUGACUGAGACGCGGCCCAGACUCCCACGGGAGGCAGCAGUGGGGACUUUUGAACAAUGGGCGAAAGCCUGACUCAGCAAUGCCGCGUGCAGGAAGAAGGCCUUCGGGUUGUAAACUGCUUUUGUCAGGGAAGAAAUCUUCUGGGUUAAUACCUCGGGAGGAUGACGGUACCUGAAGAAUAAGCACCGGCUAACUACGUGCCAGCCGCCGCAGUAAAAC
rnacentral:rRNA from 1 species